rnacentral:rRNA from 1 species
UACGUAGGGUGCAAGCGUUGUCCGGAAUUAUUGGGCGUAAAGAGCUCGUAGGCGGUCUGUCGCGUCGAAUGUGAAACCCCGAGGCUCAACCUCGGGUCUGCAUUCGAUACGGGCAGACUAGAGUUCGGUAGGGGAGUCUGGAAUUCCUGGUGUAGCGGUGAAAUGCGCAGAUAUCAGGAGGAACACCGGUGGCGAAGGCGGGACUCUGGGCCGAUACUGACGCUGAGGUGCGAAAGCGUGGGGAGCAAACAGG